rnacentral:ncRNA from 1 species
GGGAAGGCAACGACCUCGAUGGAGGAAGCCGAUAACAAAGCACCAGCCUGACGAACAGGAAUCGGAUGUGAGGCGUGUAUCUCGGGAGAGUCGGCGACGAUCGAUUAACCCGAAACUGUUACGGAAGGGAUGCACGUAUAUCCGGCAGGUAGGGGGCGAAGCACAUGUGU